rnacentral:tRNA from 2 species
GCCCGGGUGGCGGAAUCGGUAGACGCCGCGUCCUCAAAAGGCGCUGGGCUUCGGCCCGUGCGGGUUCGAGUCCCGCCCCGGGCA